rnacentral:rRNA from 1 species
CCCCUAGAUGUUCUGGGCCGCACGCGCGCUACACUGAACAGUUCAACAAGUCUUAACCUUGGCCGAUAGGUCUGGGUAAUCUUUGAACGCUGUUCGUGAUUGGGAUAGACCUUUGCAAUUAUGGGUCUUCAACGAGGAAUUCCUAGUAAACGCAAGUCAUCAGCUUGCAUUGAUUACGUCCCUGCCCUUUGUACACACCGCCCGUCGCACCUACCGAUUGAAUGGUCCGGUGAAAUCUCGGGACGGCGACUUGGUCGCUUGCGUCCGACUGCUGAAACUUGAUUAAACCAUNUNAUUUAGNGGAAGGUGAANUCGUANCA